rnacentral:rRNA from 1 species
UUUACUGAGAGUUUGAUCCUGGCUCAGGACGAACGCUGGCGGCGUGCCUAAUACAUGCAAGUCG